CUAAUACCGGAUAAUACUUUCUCUCUCCUGGGGGAAGGUUGAAAGCUCCGGCGGUGAAGGAUGAGCCCGCGGCCUAUCAGCUAGUUGGUGGGGUAAUGGCCUACCAAGGCGACGACGGGUAGCCGGCCUGAGAGGGCGACCGGCCACACUGGGACUGAGACACGGCCCAKACUCCUACGGGAGGCAGCAGUGGGGAAUAUUGCACAAUGGGCGAAAGCCUGAUGCAGCGACGCCGCGUGAGGGAUGACGGCCUUCGGGUUGUAAACCUCUUUCAGCAGGGAAGAAGCGAAAGUGACGGUACCUGCAGAAGAAGCGCCGGCUAACUACGUGCCAGCAGCCGCGGUAAUACGUAGGGCGCAAGCGUUGUCCGGAAUUAUUGGGCGUAAAGAGCUCGUAGGCGGCUUGUUGCGUCGGUUGUGAAAGCCCGGGGCUUAACCCCGGGUCUGCAGUCGAUACGGGCAGGCUAGAGUGUGGUAGGGG
rnacentral:rRNA from 2 species